rnacentral:tRNA from 1 species
GCCUGGCUGGCUCAGUUGGAAGAGCAUGUGACUCUUGAUCUUGGGUCAUGGGUUUGAGUCCCAUGUUAGGUG